GAUGAACGCUGGCGGCGUGCCUAAUACAUGCAAGUCGAGCGAACAGAUGAGGAGCUUGCUCCUCUGACGUUAGCGGCGGACGGGUGAGUAACACGUGGAUAACCUACCUAUAAGACUGGGAUAACUUCGGGAAACCGGAGCUAAUACCGGAUAAUAUAUUGAACCGCAUGGUUCAAUAGUGAAAGACGGUUUUGCUGUCACUUAUAGAUGGAUCCGCGCCGCAUUAGCUAGUUGGUAAGGUAACGGCUUACCAAGGCAACGAUGCGUAGCCGACCUGAGAGGGUGAUCGGCCACACUGGAACUGAGACACGGUCCAGACUCCUACGGGAGGCAGCAGUAGGGAAUCUUCCGAGAUGGGCGAAAGCUUGACGGAGCAACGCCGCGUGAGUGAUGAAGGUCUUCGGAUCGUAAAACUCUGUUAUUAGGGAAGAACAAAUGUGUAAGUAACUAUGCACGUCUUGACGGUACCUAAUCAGAAAGCCACGGCUAACUACGUG
rnacentral:rRNA from 1 species